UACGUAGGGACCAAGCGUUGUUCGGAUUUACUGGGCGUAAAGGGCGCGUAGGCGGCAUGACAAGUCACUUGUGAAAUCUCUGGGCUUAACCCAGAACGGCCAAGUGAUACUGUCGCGCUAGAGUGCGGAAGGGGCAAUCGGAAUUCUCGGUGUAGCGGUGAAAUGCGUUGAUAUCAUCAGGAACACCGGAGGCGAAGGCGGCUCACUGGGGCUUUUCUGACGCUGAGGAACGAAAGCCAGGGGAGCGAACGGG
rnacentral:rRNA from 1 species